rnacentral:rRNA from 1 species
UAUCAAUAAGCGGAGGAAAAGAAACUAACAAGGAUUCCCCUAGUAACGGCGAGUGAAGCGGGAAGAGCUCAAAUUUAAAAUCUGGCGGUGUAUUCCGUCCGAGUUGUAGUCUAGAGAAGCAUCAUCCGCGCCGGACCAUGUACAAGUCUCUUGGAACAGAGCGUCAUAGAGGGUGAGAAUCCCGUCCUUGACAUGGACUCCCGGUGCUUUGUGUUGUGCUCUCAACGAGUCGAGUUGUUUGGGAAUGCAGCUCAAAAUGGGUGGUAAAUUCCAUCUAAAGCUAAAUAUUGGCGAGAGACCGAUAGCGAACAAGUACCGUGAGGGAAAGAUGAAAAGCACUUUGGAGAGAGAGUUAAACAGUACGUGAAAUUGUUGAAAUGGAAACGCUUGAAGUCAGUCGCGUUCUCUGGGACUCAGCCUUGCUUCUGCUUGGUGUAUUUCCUAGUCUACGGGCCAGUAUGAAUUUCGACCGAUAGAAAAGGGCUGGAGGAAUGUGGCACCUUCGGGUGUGUUAUAGCCUCCUGUCGCAUGUGUCGGUUGGGAUUGAGG